UCCCUGUAGUUAAUGUGAUACCGCGGCUUUUCAGGCCGCUGUUCCUGGAUAGAGGCCGGGCGGGAAU
rnacentral:tRNA from 1 species